rnacentral:rRNA from 1 species
GACGAACGCUGGCGGCGUGCCUAAUACAUGCAAGUAGAACGCUGAAGGAGGAGCUUGCUUCUCCGGAUGAGUUGCGAACGGGUGAGUAACGCGUAGGUAACCUGCCUGGUAGCGGGGGAUAACUAUUGGAAACGAUAGCUAAUACCGCAUAACAGUAGAUAUUGCAUGAUAUCUGCUUGAAAGGUGCAAUUGCAUCACUACCAGAUGGACCUGCGUUGUAUUAGCUAGUUGGUGAGGUAACGGCUCACCAAGGCGACGAUACAUAGCCGACCUGAGAGGGUGAUCGGCCACACUGGGACUGAGACACGGCCCAGACUCCUACGGGAGGCAGCAGUAGGGAAUCUUCGGCAAUGGACGGAAGUCUGACCGAGCAACGCCGCGUGAGUGAAGAAGGUUUUCGGAUCGUAAAGCUCUGUUGUAAGAGAAGAACGAGUGUGAGAGUGGAAAGUUCACACCGUGACGGUAUCUUACCAGAAAGGGAUGGCUAACUACGUG